GUGCUCGCUUCGGCAGCACAUAUACUAAAGUUGGAAAGAUACAGAGAUUAGUAUGGUCCCUGCACAAGAACGAUAAUCAGGGCCCGGAGAGAUAGCACAGCGGC